CCUACGGGAGGCAGCAGUGAGGAAUAUUGGUCAAUGGACGAGAGUCUGAACCAGCCAAGUAGCGUGAAGGAUGACUGCCCUAUGAGUUGUAAACUUCUUUUGUAAAAGGGUAAACCUGAACACGUGUACCUUUUUGCAUGUACUUUAUGAAUAAGGAUCGGCUAACUCCGUGCCAGCAGCCGCGGUAAUACGGAGGAUCCGAGCGUUAUCCGGAUUUAUUGGGUUUAAAGGGAGCGUAGAUGGGUUGUUAAGUCAGUGGUGAAAGGUUGGGGCUCAACCGGAAAACUGCCUGUGAUACUGGUAGUCUAGAGUACAGUUGCGGUAGGCGGAAUGUGUGGUGUAGCGGUGAAAUGCUUAGAGAUCACGAAGAACACCGAUUGCGAAGGCAGCUUACCAAUCUGUGACUGACAUUGAGGCUCGAAAGUGUGGGGAGCAAACAGGAUUAGAUACCCCAGUAGUC
rnacentral:rRNA from 1 species